GGCAUGAAGCAAUUCCAUGGCCACUCGGUACCAUCUUCUCUCAAGAUCUUAGGCCUCGAAAUCCCCCAGUAACUCGACACCACCGCACCAUCACUCGCCUUCACCGAUUCCACUUCUUUCUCAGCCUGCUUCCCCACCGACUUCUCUGUUUUCUCGUUCUCAGCCACCGCUGUCUCCGCCGCUGUGCUCAUCAUCCUCCUCCAGUAAAACACACCAAACGACGCGCCAUUUCGGCUCCUAAACUCCGUCCAAACGUCCAUCGGCUUUAAAACACCAGACGUCUUUA
rnacentral:misc_RNA from 1 species